GACGAACGCUGGCGGCGUGCUUAACACGUGCAAGUCGAACGAGAGCGUAGAGAAAGCUUGCUUUUUCUACAAUCUAGUGGCAAACGGGUGAGUAACGCGUAAACAACCUGCCCUACGGAUGGGGACAACAGCUGGAAACGGCUGCUAAUACCGAAUACGUUCCGAAAGUCGCAUGACUAUCUGUAGAACGGAUGGCCUCUAUUUAUAAGCUAUCGCCGGGGGAGGGGUUUGCGUCUGAUUAGCUAGUUGGAGGGGUAACGGCACACCAAGGAGACGAUCAGUGGACGGUCUGAGGAGAUAACCGGCCACAAUGGAACGGAAACAAGGUCCAGACUACUACAGGAGGAAGCAGUGGGGAAACAUCCGCAAUGGGCGAAAGCAUGACGGAGCAACGCCGCGUGAGAGAAGACGGCCUUCGGGUUGUAAAGCUCUGUUAUACGGGAAGAAUAAGCUUGUGGUUAAUACCCAUGAGAAGUGACGGUACAGUAAGAGAAAGCCAAGGCUAACUACGUG
rnacentral:rRNA from 1 species